UAGGGGCUUUUACCGUGUGAGCUCCUUUAAUGCCGGGGUCUGCAGUGAGAGCUGGUGAUGAAGCUCCUGCCGGUGUGGAGCUUACAUCCCUAAGGGAGCGUUUAUUUAAUCAGUAAAUAAACCACUCACCAUGAAAGUAUUGAGUUCUGUCUCCUGCCUUUCAGGAGUUCUAAAUCUAUGUCUUUGAAAUCCAUUUCCAUUCGUCUCAGCCUUACCAGCCAUAACUUUAGAUGAGAGGAGGCUAUCUCUUUCGUGCUGCAAAAGGCUUGGACUUAGUUUUAGAACUGGAAGGGACUGGUGAUAGCGUAGGUCCAUAUUUAGCUUUUGGACCCCAGGUAUCACCUUAGCUGUAACUUUCAACGGAUUGACCCAGUGGUAACGUCUGAAUAGAAGGAGGGUUGAGGGGAUAUGGUGUGGAAUGGGGGAAGGAGGAGUCUGAAAUAGAAGAAAGAUUUGCUUCUCAUUGUCUACCUUUUUUAGUACAGUUUGAAUUUUUCCAUAUGUUUGUAUUACUUUUUCAAUUAAAAAGCCAGGUUUAAAAAAUGACCCCACAUUAAAAAGUAGCAACGUAGGCGUGAGCCACACACCUGGCCAGCUCUGUUAUUAUUACCAAGAAUUUGCCUGU
rnacentral:lncRNA from 1 species